AUUGAACGCUGGCGGCAGGCCUAACACAUGCAAGUCGAACGAGUGGCGGACGGGUGAGUAAUGUCUGGGAAACUGCCUGAUGGAGGGGGAUAACUACUGGAAACGGUAGCUAAUACCGCAUACCAUCAGAUGUGCCCAGAUGUGAUUAACUUGUUGGUGGGGUAACGGCUCACCCAGGAGACGAUCCCUAGCUGGUCUGAGAGGAUGACCAGCCAAACUGGACCUGAGACACGGUCCAGAAGCCUACGGGAGGCAGCGGUGGGGAAAAUUGCACAAGGGGCGCAAGCAUGAUGCAGCCAUGCCGCGUGUAGGGAGAAGGCCUUCGGGUUGUAAAGUACGUUCAGCGGGGAGGCGUGACCGGCAGAAGAAGCACCGGCUAACUCCGUGCCAGCCGCCGCGGUAAUAA
rnacentral:rRNA from 1 species